GGCCUCUCACCGCUGUCCCAUUUCCUUAUGCAAGAGAUCACCAGCGUCUUCAUUCUUUCAGCAAUAUACUGUCCCAAUCCCUUAUGCAAGAGUCAACCAGUAUCUUCACUCUUUCAUCCCUGUACUGUCCCAAUCCCUUAUGCAAGAGUCAACCAGCAUCUUCAUUCUCUCAUCCCAAUCCCUUAUGCAAGAGUUCACCAGCAUCUUCACUCUUUCAUCCCUGUACUGUCCAAAUCCCUUAUGCAAGAGUUAACCAGCAUCUUCACUCUUUCAUCCCUGUACUGUCCCAUUUCCUUAUGCAAGAGAUCACCAGCGUCUUCAUUCUUUCAGCAAUAUACAGUCCCAAUCCCUUAUGCAAGAGUCAACCAGUAUCUUCACUCUUUCAUCCCUGUACUGUCCAAAUCCCUUAUGCAAGAGUUUACCAGCGUCUUCACUCUUUCAUCCCUGUACUGUCCUAAUCCCUUAUGCAAGAGUUCACCAGCAUCUUCACUCUUUCAUCCCUGUACUGUCCCAAUCCCUUAUGCAAGAGUUAACCAGCAUCUUCACUCUUUCAUCCCUGUACUGUCCCAAUCCCUUAUGCAAGAGUUAACCAGCAUCUUCACUCUUUCAUCCCUAUACUGUCCAAAUCCCUUAUGCAAGAGUCAACCAGCAUCUUCACUCUUUCAUCCCUGUACUUUCUACAACGCUGAAAUUACUCUUUGUUUUAGGACUCAGAAAGAAAACGACAUUAAAAACUGGAUAUUUCAAUGGAUUAAGAACAGAUAAAUGACUCCUUUUGUUUAUAGGGUCUAGAAAAUCUGCAUAGUACCUCAAACUCGAAAUUGGUUACCCUGGAGGGAGAGAGAGAGAGAGAGUGAGAGGGAUAGAGUUAGUGCCAAUUAAAGAUAGAGAGAGUAAGUUAGAGAGAGAAAAAAGUUGUGGAAAUGUGAGAAAAUGAGUUAAUUAAGAUAUCCAGAGCAAAAAAUCGCAGUAGAAACUCGUAGAAUAAAAGUUACACCAAAGAAAACGGGAAAUUUUUAGGGGUAACUCAAGCAAAUCACUUCUACAGGUUUCCUUCUGUUAUUCAAGUACCAAAAGGUGUUAGUAAGGAAAUAAAGUACGGAAUAGAGAGAAAAUAAGUUAAUAAAGAUAUCCAUGUCAAAAAAUCGCAGUAGAAACGCGUAGAAAAAGAGUUACACCAGAGAAAACGGGAAAUAUUUAGGGGUAUCUCAAGCAAAUCCCUUCUAUAGGUUUUCUUCUGUUAUUCAAGUACCAAAAGGUGUUAGUAAGAAAAUAAAAUACGGAAUAGUCAGAAAAUAAGUUAAUAAAGAUAUCCAUGUCAAAAAAUCGCAGUAGAAACGCGUAGAAAAAGAGUUACACCAAAGAAAACGGGAAAUUUCUAGGGGUAACUCAAGCAAAUCCCUUCUACAGGUUUUCUUCUGUUAUUCAAGUACCAAAAGGUGUUAGUAAGGAAAUAAAGUACGGAAUAGAGAGAAAAUAAGUUAAUAAAGAUAUCCAUGUCAAAAAAUCGCAGUAGAAACGCGUAGAAUAAAAGUUACACCAAAGAAAAUGGGAAAUUUUUAGGGGUAGCUCAAGCAAAUCCUUUCUACAGGUUUUCUUCUGUUAUUCAAGUACCAAAAUGUGUUAGUAAGGAAAUAAAGUACGGAAUAGAGAGAAAAUAAGUUAAUAAAGAUAUCCAUGUAAAAAAAUCGCAGUAGAAACGCGUAGAAAAAGAGUUACACCAAAGAAACAAGGAAAUUUUAAAGGGGUACCUAACACAAUUUUGAUUCUUCUGUUAUUCAAGUACUAGAAGGUGUUAGUAAGGAAAUAAAGUACGGAAUAGUCAGAAAAUAAGUUUAUAAAGAUAUCCAUGUCAAAAAAUCGCAGUAGAAACGCGUAGAAAAAGAGUUACACCAAAGAAACAAGGAAAUUUUAAAGAGGUACCAAACACAAUUUUGAUUCUUCUGUUAUUCAAGUACUAGAAGGUGUUAGUAAGGAAAUAAAGUACGGAAUAGAGAGAAAAUAAGUUAAUAAAGAUAUCCAUGUCAAAAAAUCGCAGUAGAAACGCGUAGAAUAAAAGUUACACCAAAGAAAACGGGAAAUUUUUAGGGGUAGCUCACGCAAAUCUCUCUU